CAGAUUGGGUUGGAUGUCUUGACACUCGCAAGUCUAUUACAGGCUAUUGCAUCUUUCUUGAUUCUUCUCUUAUCUGUUGGAAAGCUAAAAAGCAAUCAACAGUAUCUCCGUCAUCUUCCCAAGUCGAGUAUGGGGCCUUGGCAACAACUACUCUAUACCAUUCGAAAUCAGCAGUACUAACAUCGAGUUCGAAUUUCUUUGUGCUUUGUGUUCUUGGCAAGUGACAUGAUAAUGGAUAUGUAUGAAUAAUUGGAACGUGUUGAACAAAUUCUGAUAAAUUGGAAAGUUUUGAGCAGUUCAUGCUUCUAUCCAUUGUAUUCUUUACAAUAAAAUCCGCUGCCAGAAGAUUCAUACGCAGAAAGAAUGGUGGUUAAAGAACAAAACAAGAUAUGAGAAGCUCCAGAGUUACAGUCACAAUCUUGCUGAUUUUCCAAAUAUAUUGCAAGUAGAAAAAUUUAGUGUUAUGCCAUAUGCUUGGAGUUUUGUUUCUUUUCUUUUUCUUCUUUCUCAAUCAUUUCUCCUCUCUCUGAAAUGAAGAAACUCUUGAUUUAUCAAAUAGAGGAACCCGAAUCUUUACUGCCAGAUGGACUGCAGAAUCUCACUUCUCUUCAAUAAUUAGAGAUUUGGAGAUGCCUAAGAUUGACGUCUCUGCCUUGAGAGAUGUGUUGCUCACCUCUGUUGGCUAUUCAUGGGUGCAGAGACAAGAAUUGUGUGAGACGAAAAUGAGGAGAGUACAGAGAGAGGAACAGAGCAAAGAGGGAGAAGAAAAUUCUGGGUUUUGGGCUAUAUGAGUAGACUUCGUCAACUUGACUGUCACGACCCAACUUAUGGGCCGGAUCGGCACUAGGACCUAAGCCAUCCUAAAACUCCCAAGGCCCGUAGUAAGUCUAACUAUUCCUUAACCCAAUCUUAAGGCCCAUAUUAAGCUUAGUUUCAAGAAAUCAACUGGACAUAAUCCUGCCAUUGAGCUUAGUUUCAAGA